GCUCACCAAGCCGAAGAUCAGUAGGGGCCUUGAGAGAGGUAACCUCGAGAAGGGUACUGAGGAACUGACCCUAGCCCUACGGGGUGCAGCAGGCGCGAAACCUUUACAAUGCACGAAAGUGUGAUAAGGGAAUCCAAAGUGCUAGUACCUUGUACUAGCUUUUUUCAAAGGUAAAAACUUUGAAGAAUAAGUGGUGGGCAAGACCGGUGCCAGCAGCCGCGGUAACACCGGCGCCACGAGUGGUAUCCGCAUUUACUUGGCCUAAAGCGUCCGUAGCCUGUCUAAUAAAUUUCUUGUGAAAUUGUUAAGCUUAACUUAACAACGUGCAGGAAAAACUGUUAGACUCGGAACCGGGAGGAGUCAGAAGUAUUUCUUGGGGAGCGGUAAAAUGCUAUAAUCCUUGAAAGACUACCUGUGGCGGAGGCGUCUGACUAGAACGGAUUCGACGGUGAGGGACGAAAGCCAGGGGAGCGAUCCGGAUUAGAUACCCGAGUAGUCCUGGCUGUAAACUCUGCGAGCUAGGUGUUGCGCAUUCUUCGUGAGUGCGCAGUAUCGUAGCGAAGGCGUUAAGCUCGCCGCCUGGGAAGUAUGGUCGCAAGACUGAAACUUAAAGGAAUUGGCGGGGAAGCACUACAAGGGGUGCGGCGUGCGGUUCAAUUGAAUUCAACACCGGAAAUCUCACCAGCAGCGACGGCAGAAUGAAGGUCAGAUUGAAGGUCUUACCUAACAAGCCGAGAGGUGGUGCAUGGCCGCCGUCAGCUCGUGCCGUAAGGUGUCCAUUUAAGUAUGGUAACGAGCGAGAUCUGUGCCCACAAUUGCUAACAAGUCCUUUUGGAUGAUUGAGCACAUUGUGGGGACUGCCCUGGAAACAGGGAGGAAGGUGCAGGCUACGGUAGGUCUGUAUGCCCCGAAUCUGCUGGGCUACACGCGCGCAACAAUGGUAGGAACAAUGGGACACUACUCCGAAAGGAGACGUUAAGCCUCGAAAUCCUAUCUAAGUUCAGAUUGAGGAUUGUAACUCAUCCUCAUGACGCCGGAUCCCUAGUAAUCAGAAGUCAACA
rnacentral:rRNA from 1 species